UUAGCAAGUCAUCUGGAGUGACAGAUACAGAACUCUCUUUUGUUGUGUCAAGGCUAAAGAACCUGCUGAAGCUGGACAUUACCUGUUGUCGCAGUAUUACUGAUGUUUCACUAGCGGCCAUAACUAGUUCGUGCACUUCCCUCAUCUCUCUGAGGAUGGAGUCUUGUAGCCAUGUUUCCAGUGGAGCACUCCAACUGAUUGGGAAGCACUGUUCUCACUUGGAAGAGUUGGACCUUACUGACAGUGAUUUGGAUGAUGAAGGAUUGAAAGCUCUUGCCAGAUGUAGCGAACUUUCGAGCCUAAAAAUUGGCAUUUGCUUGAAGAUAAGUGAUGAAGGUCUUAGCCACAUUGGAAGGUCUUGCCCAAAACUCCGCGAGAUUGAUUUGUACAGGUGUGGAGUUAUUAGCGAUGAUGGAAUUAUUCAAAUUGCGCAGGGUUGUCCGAUGCUAGAGUCUAUCAACCUAUCAUACUGCACAGAAAUAACAGACCGUUCACUGAUUUCACUCUCAAAAUGCGCAAAGCUGAAUACUUUGGAGA